AAAAACGUCACUCUCUUCUCUCCCUCACAAAACCACCAUGAAAGCUCUAUUGUGAGCUUGAAGAACUAAAAAUCCCAUCACAAAAAAAUAGUCUACCAUAUAUAAGACUUGUUUGGGCAACUAGAAAACAAGAUCUAAGGGAAAGAAAGAAAAGAAAACUUGAAGGAAAUGAAGAAGAAAAUUCUGCAUUCAAGGUAAUAAUUCAAACUUCAACCUUUUAGUUUAAUUAAUAUAUUUAUAGCAUAAAGUACUUAUAAAUAUGCUUGAAAUGAAAUGAAAACAUCCUUGGGGGACAAGAGUAAAUUUCGGCUAGCUAGGGUUUGUGAUGGAAAUGCUUGUGUUUUAAUUGAAUUAAUUAUGUUAGAAAGUUUAAUUAAGUGAUGGAGUGAUGUUGGUAUGCUUUGAAUUAGUUAAAUGUAACAAUUAGUGUAGUCAGGGUUUUGGCACCUAGGGUUUGAAAGACAAAAAUUUGGAGAAGUGGUCAAAUGGUGGGUUUGACCUUGUUUGAGGUGAGAAAUGGUCAUUUGUGACCAAUUGGAGUAUGUUAGAAGUGUUGGAACCAAAUGCAAAUUCGGAUUGCUUAGGGUCAUGCUGCAGGCAGCAGGACCAAGGUCCCUUUGAGGGACCA
rnacentral:misc_RNA from 1 species